rnacentral:rRNA from 1 species
GACGAACGCUGGCGGCGUGCCUAACACAUGCAAGUCGAACGGACUUAGCCCCUUCGGGGGCGAAAGUUAGUGGCGGACGGGUGAGUAACGCGUGAGCAACCUGCCUUUCGGAGGGGGACAACAGCUGGAAACGGCUGCUAAUACCGCAUAAUGUAAGAGGAUGGCAUCAUUUUCUUACCAAAGAUUUAUCGCCGAAAGAUGGGCUCGCGUCUGAUUAGCUAGUUGGUAAGGUAAAGGCUUACCAAGGCUUCGAUCAGUAGCCGGACUGAGAGGUUGAACGGCCACAUUGGGACUGAGAUACGGCCCAGACUCCUACGGGAGGCAGCAGUGGGGAAUAUUGGGCAAUGGGGGCAACCCUGACCCAGCAACGCCGCGUGAAGGAAGAAGGCUUUCGGGUUGUAAACUUCUUUGACGAGGGACGAAACAAAUGACGGUACCUCGAAAACAAGCCACGGCUAACUACGUGCCAGCCGCCGCGGUAACAC